GUUGUAUAACCUACAGCCGUUCCUAGAAUUUAGACAACUUUGUUCUACAUAGAAAGUCAAGAAAUUCAGAAACUUCUGUCGAACUAAGCUUUUAGUUUCUAUAUUUUUAUUGAAGCAAGUUCUUUCAUACUGACGAUACUUUUAAAAAAGUUUUGUCUUGGAAUCAAGAGAGCCAUCAAAGAGUGAUUGAACUAUCCAUUUGAAAAUAGAACGACACGACAAUGGUCAAAAGAAUGCUACUUGCCACAACACUUGUUUGUCUGAUUGUUAUGGCGACAGCACAUCCUACUUCAUAUCAUAUUCGUCAGAAGAGAGAUGCCGAAGGCCCAGUUCGAGUUGGCGUCAAUAUUCCUCGUAUCUUCAACUUGGGCCUAUUCACUGGUAGAAGAGGAACUUUACUUGGGAUUGACGUUCUUCAAGGCCUUGUUGGAAUCGGGCUAGACACGAGACGAAAUAUGCACUGAAAAUCAUGAGAAGUUGCGAUAAAUAAUAGAGUUUGUCAGUUUGCCAGUCAAACAUUUCUACUGCAACGUCUUAAAACCUUUUAAAGAUUAAUGGCAUAUCAUGCUCUAGCUGGAUUAUCAUGGAACUUCACCUUAAUCAAUGUCAGUAACAUUGUACCUUACAGGGAUCAUCCUGUCUGACUGUGAUGGUUUUCUGUCAUAAUUAUUGCAUAUUAUAAUUAAAAGAUAAAGAGUUCAGUUUUCAGUUCCUGUUUAUUUCAUAGAAAUCAAUAAUUCUAUUAUCUGUAAAAAGCUGUACGUGGGAAGUAGGUUUUACUUUGUCUCAUUACAUGGAUCAUUAGCAUAGGUGAAAUUCUUUCUUUUAAUAUUACUUCAUAUAGCCCCCAGUGGCACAGUAGUAUGUCUGCGGACUUACAACGCUAGAAACCGGGUUUCGAUACCCGUGGUGGGCAGAGCACAGAUAGCCCAUUGUGCAGCUUUGUGCUUAACUUCAAACAAACAAUGCUUCAUAUAAUAAUUAUUAUAGGUGGAUUGAGAAAUAACUUAUUGCCAGGAUUCGUGAGUAUGACUUAUCAAGCUAUGGAUAUAAGAUGUUGCUGGUUGAUGCUGCGUUUAUCUGAAUUCAGAUUUUGUAUUGAUUACAACAAGCUAAUUCACUAUUGUCAGGUGACCAGCAUGUUUAGUUAUUAGAUUAUCCUAACUUUAAAUUUAGCUCACUUAUACUUCAGGUUCAGUUCUAUUUAGAUAAAUUUAAGUUAACUCUCCAUUUGCCACUGUAGCUGCUCAGUGUGCUUUUUUAAGUGUAUUAAAAAGUAUUGUGCCUUU